rnacentral:rRNA from 1 species
UAAGAGACACAGCCGCCACGGGAAUACAGAGGGUGCGAGCGUUAAUCGGAUUUACUGGGCGUAAAGCGUGCGUAGGCGGCUUCUUAAGUCGGAUGUGAAAUCCCUGAGCUUAACUUAGGAAUUGCAUUCGAUACUGGGAAGCUAGAGUAUGGGAGAGGAUGGUAGAAUUCCAGGUGUAGCGGUGAAAUGCGUAGAGAUCUGGAGGAAUACCGAUGGCGAAGGCAGCCAUCUGGCCUAAUACUGACGCUGAGGUACGAAAGCAUGGGGAGCAAACAGGAUUAGAUACCCCCGUAGUCCCUGUCUCUUAUACA